AGUGAACGCUGGCGGUAGGCCUAACACAUGCAAGUCGAACGGCAGCACAGUAAGAGCUUGCUCUUACGGGUGGCGAGUGGCGGACGGGUGAGGAAUACAUCGGAAUCUACUUUUUCGUGGGGGAUAACGUAGGGAAACUUACGCUAAUACCGCAUACGACCUACGGGUGAAAGCAGGGGAUCUUCGGACCUUGCGCGAUUGAAUGAGCCGAUGUCGGAUUAGCUAGUUGGCGGGGUAAAGGCCCACCAAGGCGACGAUCCGUAGCUGGUCUGAGAGGAUGAUCAGCCACACUGGAACUGAGACACGGUCCAGACUACUACGGGAGGGAGCAGUGGGGAAUAUUGGACAACGGGCGCAAGCCUGAUCCAGCCAUACCGCGUGGGUGAAGAAGGCCUUCGGGUUGUAAAGCCCUUUUGUUGGGAAAGAAAAGCAGCAGGUUAAUACCCCGCUGUUCUGACGGUACCCAAAGAAUAAGCACCGGCUAACUUCGUG
rnacentral:rRNA from 1 species